UGAGCUUAAUGGAAGCAAAUAUAAAAGAAAGUUACUAAUAGACUUAGGUAAAAGAAGUCUCAGAGCAAUAAUACACCACACUCAUUUAAAGUGAGCAGAAUAUUGUACAGAUGUCAAUUCUCCUUAAAUUAUUUACAGAUUUCUGCCUUACCUGAUGGAUUUGGCUUCGGGUCAGCAGAAGAGACACAGCCCAGCACCAACAAGGAGUCAAGGGUGACCUCUUCAUCCUCCUAACCACUUGCACUCCCGCCUGCU
rnacentral:lncRNA from 1 species